GGAGAGAUGGCAGAGCGGUCGAAUGCGGCGGUCUUGAAAACCGUUGACCAGCAAUGGUCCGGGGGUUCGAAUCCCUCUCUCUCCG
rnacentral:tRNA from 2 species